AAAUGCCGUGGAAAGUUUUCUAAAGUUUCCUAUUGAUGCUUUAUAUAUGUAAGAUUUCGCCUCACAUGUAUGUUUGGUUUCCCAAUCUCUUGUGUAAUUACAGUUGCUUUGGCUCCCCAGUGAUCUCUGGUUUUGCAAGGUGAAAUUGGUUUCCCAAUCUCUUGUGUAAUUGCGAUUGCUUUGCCUCCACUGAUUAAUGUUUGGACAAUGGGUCGGAAUAGAGUAUAUAGAAGUUUAGAAGAGGCUAAUGCUGAGAAAAAUCGAAAGAAACGCGACCAACGUGCUGCUGCUCGCCAAAGGAGAAAAAAUGACGCGCCAUCAGGAGUGUGUACGCUGGCUGUCACAGCUUUUAAUAUACGUGAACCAAAUACUAUUAAUCAGCCAAAUAUGAGUGCUGGAGAAUCUUCAUUAGGCUCGGACCCAGUGCUGCCAUCUACACAGAAUAAUGCAGAGCAAUUUCCAAUGGAAAAUGAACAAAAUGUAUCUAGCUCUAUUGCUGAUAGUGCUAACGAGGUUUCAUCAACUAAUAUAGGUAUUGGUCAAUCACCAUUACGUAGAAAACGUCGAUCUGUAAGACGCUCUGUUACUGAUCCGUUAGCCACGAUAGCUACUGAGCCCACAGUAUUGCCUGAUGUUCCAAAUUGUCCGUACUGUCAUGCAAAACGAUUUCAUCACGAACCGCCUGGUUUUUGCUGUUCCUCUGGUGAGAUACAGCUAUUAUCUACUGAGAUGCCGCGAGAGCUUAUGUUAUUAUAUAUUGAAGAUUCUGAUCAGGCUGUCGAGUUUCGCAGAUGCGUUAGAAGCUAUAAUAAUAUGUUUGCAUUUACCUCGAUUGGUAUUCAUUCUGAUAAAUCUUUGGCUGCAAAUUAUAAUGGAGUUUAUACAUUUCGAAUCCAAGGACAAAUGUAUCAUUAUAUUAAUGCGCUUGUUCCAGAGGAUGGUGUCCAGGCGCGAGUUCAUUCUUUUCUUGGCUUUCUUUACUGGGCGUUCAAGCAAUUUUGGCGGUGAGUUGAGCUGAAUCCAGAGCGCACCGCUUCAGAGUUCUGCGCGCUGCUACUUUUCCUUACUGUUUUCUCGGUCUUGUUUCCUCUGUUUCUUUUCUUGGCCUUCUUUACCAGAUUAAUGCCUUGAGAAUGGGUCGGAAUAGAGUAUACGGAAGUUUGGAAGAGGCAAUUAAACCAGAAUUAACUAUAAAACAGGUCUUUGCAUAAUUAAUGCUUUUACAAAUAUCUUGAAAUACUAUUUCUUACUCCAUUAAAACUUUUCCUAUCAGAAAUUAGCAGUGAGAAUCCGGGUUCUGAUAUGAGUUCAGUGUUGCAUGGAUUGGACGAUGAGUUUGGGGUACGGGGCUAACGAAGACAAGAGAAAUAGGGGAAUCUGUAAACCAUUUGGCCUGACUCCUCAAUGUGUUAAUUCGUUUUUUUAAUGAAGCUGUUUAGACUUCACUAAGAGACAUGAAAACUUACCGAGUGUUGUUUUGAUCGGUUAAGUAAAUUGUUAUCGCAAUACAAAGGUGAAUCUCUUUUCCAGAUUUAUUUUCUUUAGAAUUCAUCAUAUGCUAAUUUCCAUUUCAGAUUUAUUUUGUUUAUGCUUUCCCACUACUUUCUUUAUGAGACUGGGGAUUGCCAAGUUUGUCGCAUGAAUCAGGAAUAUAUUUUAUACUAAAGGCAAAACGAAGGGCUCUAGGAAAUGUCUGGUGUUUUGGCUGAGCAUCAUCCAGCGGUAGCUAAUGCCCUGAUCGUAUGAUUGUUGGGUAACGUGUUCGAUGGUGUGAGUGCAGCAAAGGGUGUAUGUUCCAGGAAGGGAAAAGGAGAAGCAAACUGUUGAGCUGGAGGUCUGCAAUCAGGGAAUGUUCAAAACCGAGUUGUGUAACAAAUGGCAAGAGACCGGGGAAUGUCCCUAUGGAGAGAACUGCCAAUUUGCUCAUGGAAUUAAGGAGCUGCGCCCUGUACUUCGCCACCCAAGGUACAAGACUGAGGUAUGCCGCAUGGAGUUGAACGGUGGACACCGAUGAUGAGGAGAAGCUUAUCAAGUCCAUGAACAUCAGGCCCCUAAAGCUACUCAAUCGUUAGGUCCACGAUUAUAACUCCCCUAAAUGAUGUUAGACAACUGCAAAGGUCUUGGCUGGUAUGCAACAGUGUUUUUGUUCUUCAAAGUAAGCAAUUGAUUAAUAGGCAAUAAGGCUAAGGUCUACUGAUGUGAUAAUACUAA